AGAGUUUGAUCCUGGCUCAGAACGAACGCUGGCGGCGUGGAUGAGGCAUGCAAGUCGCGCGGGAUCCGGUUUGUAGCAAUAUAGGCCGGUGAGAGCGGCGUAAGGGUGAGUAAUGCGUGGGCAAUCUGCCUCCAAGUUCGGCAUAACCCUGCGAAAGCGGGGCUAAUUCCGAAUGUGGUAAUCCGGUGCAUACCGGGUGUUCCAAAGCUGGGGACCGCAAGGCCUGGCGCUUGGAGAUGAGCCCGCGUCCUAUCAGCUUGUUGGUGAGGUAACGGCUCACCAAGGCUUACGGGUAGCUGGUCUGAGAGGAUGGUCAGCCACACUGGGACUGAGAUACUGCCCAGACUCCUACGGGAGGCUGCAGUCGAGAAUCAUUCGCAAUGGGCGAAAGCCUGACGAUGCGACGCCGCGUGCAGGAUGACGGCCUUCGGGUUGUAAACUGCUGUCUUUGGGGAGCAAUAGCACGGCCAUUAACACCGGCUGUGUGUGAUAGUACCCGAGGAGGAAGCCACGGCUAACUCUGUGCCGGCAGCCGCGGUAAUACAGAGGUGGCAAGCGUUGUUCGGAUUUACUGGGCGUAAAGGGUGCGUAGGCGGUUUUGCGUGUCGGAUGUGAAAUCCCACGGAUCAUCUGUGGAACUGCAUUCGAAACUGCAGGGCUAGAGGUCAGUAGAGGAUGGCGGAAUUCUCGGUGUAGCGGUGAAAUGCGUUGAUAUCGAGAAGAACACCGGUGGCGAAGGCGGCCAUCUGGGCUGAAUCUGACGCUGAGGCACGAAAGCUAGGGGAGCAAACAGGAUUAGAUACCCUGGUAGUCCUAGCCGUAAACGGUGUGCACUUGAUGUGGGAGGAAUUAUCCCCCUCCGUGUCGAAGCUAACGCGAUAAGUGCACCGCCUGGGGAGUACGGUCGCAAGAUUAAAACUCAAAGGAAUUGACGGGGGCCCGCACAAGCGGUGGAGCAUGUGGCUUAAUUCGAUGCAACGCGAAGAACCUUACCUGGGCUUGACAUGUAACUGCACGCCUUCCGAAAGGGAGGAAGCCUUCGAGGGUGUUACACAGGUGCUGCAUGGCUGUCGUCAGCUCGUGCCGUGAGGUGUUAGGUUAAGUCCUGCAACGAGCGCAACCCCUGUGACUAGUUGCUCAUGCGCAAGCAUAGCACUCUAGUUAGACUGCCUGUGAUAAGCAGGAGGAAGGUGGGGAUGACGUCAAGUCAGUAUGGUCCUUAUGUCCAGGGCUGCACACGUGCUACAAUGAACGGUACAGAGGGAAGCAAGACCGCGAGGUGGAGCAAAUCCCAGAAAACCGUUCUCAGUUCAGAUUGGAGUCUGCAACUCGACUCCAUGAAGCCGGAAUCGCUAGUAAUGGCGCAUCAGCUACGGCGCCGUGAAUACGUUCCCGGGCCUUGUACACACCGCCCGUCACAUCAUGAAAGCCGAUUGCACCCGAAGUGGCUCUUUGAGUCCCUAAGGUGUGGUUGGUGAUUGGGAUGAAGUCGUAACAAGGUAGCCGUAGGGAACCUGCG
rnacentral:rRNA from 1 species